ACAGUGGACGCGAGCAUCUGUGGCCAAGUUUUUAAGGGCGCACGGUGGAUGCCUUGGCACCAGGAACCGAUGAAGGACGUGAGAGGCCGCGAUAGGCCCCGGGGAGCUGCCAACUGAGCUUUGAUCCGGGGGUGUCCGAAUGGGGAAACCCGGCAGUCGUCAUGGGCUGUCACCCACUGCUGAACACAUAGGCAGUGUGGAGGGAACGAGGGGAAGUGAAACAUCUCAGUACCCUCAGGAAGAGAAAACAACCGUGAUUCCGGGAGUAGUGGCGAGCGAAACCGGAUGAGGCCAAACCGUAUGCGUGUGAGACCCGGCAGGGGUUGCGCAUGCGGGGUUGUGGGAAUGAGCUUUCACAGUCUGCCGGCUGUGAGGCGAGUCAGAAACCGUAUGGAUAGGCGAAGGACAUGCGAAAGGUCCGGCGUAGAGGGUAAGACCCCCGUAGCUGAAAUCUGUACGGCUUGCUUGCUCAUCUCCCAAGUAGCACGGGGCCCGAGAAAUCCCGUGUGAAUCUGGCGGGACCACCCGCUAAGCCUAAAUAUUCCCUGGUGACCGAUAGCGGAUAGUACCGUGAGGGAAUGGUGAAAAGUACCGCGGGAGCGGAGUGAAAUAGUACCUGAAACCGUGUGCCUACAAGCCGUGGGAGCGUCGGAUGCACUUGUGCAUCUCGUGACUGCGUGCCUUUUGAAGAAUGAGCCUGCGAGUUAGCGGUGUGUAGCGAGGUUAACCCGUGUGGGGAAGCCGUAGCGAAAGCGAGUCCGAAUAGGGCGAUUGAGUUGCACGCUCUAGACCCGAAGCGGAGUGAUCUAGCCAUGGGCAGGUUGAAGCGGAGGUAAGACUUCGUGGAGGACCGAACCCACCAGGGUUGAAAACCUGGGGGAUGACCUGUGGUUAGGGGUGAAAGGCCAAUCAAACUCCGUGAUAGCUGGUUCUCCCCGAAAUGCAUUUAGGUGCAGCGUCGUGUGUUUCUUGCCGGAGGUAGAGCACUGGAUAGGCGAUGGGCCCUACCGGGUUACUGACCUUAGCCAAACUCCGAAUGCCGGUAAGUGAGAGCACGGCAGUGAGACUGUGGGGGAUAAGCUCCAUGGUCGAGAGGGAAACAGCCCAGAGCAUCGACUAAGGCCCCUAAGCGUACGCUAAGUGGGAAAGGAUGUGGAGUCGCAGAGACAACCAGGAGGUUGGCUUAGAAGCAGCCACCCUUGAAAGAGUGCGUAAUAGCUCACUGGUCAAGUGAUUCCGCGCCGACAAUGUAGCGGGGCUCAAGCGUACCGCCGAAGUCGUGUCAUUGCAGCAAUAGGGCCAACGCCCGCUGUGAUGGGUAGGGGAGCGUCGUGUGCCGGGUGAAGCAGCAGCGGAAGCUAGUUGUGGACGGUUCACGAGUGAGAAUGCAGGCAUGAGUAGCGAUACACACGUGAGAAACGUGUGCGCCGAUUGACUAAGGGUUCCUGGGUCAAGCUGAUCUGCCCAGGGUAAGUCGGGACCUAAGGCGAGGCCGACAGGCGUAGUCGAUGGACAACCGGUUGAUAUUCCGGUACCCGCUUUGAAACGCCCAAUAUCGAAUCCUCUGAUGCUAAGCCCGUGAAGCCGUUCCGGACCCUUCGGGGAAUGGAAAGUGGUGGAGCCGGCGAUCCAAGGUGGUAGUAGGUAAGCGAUGGGGUGACGCAGGAAGGUAGUCCAGCCCGGGCGGUGGUUGUCCCGGGGUAAGGGUGUAGGCCGUGUGGUAGGCAAAUCCGUCACACGUUAAGGCUGAGACCUGAUGCCGAGCCGAUUGUGGUGAAGUGGAUGAUCCUAUGCUGUCGAGAAAAGCCUCUAGCGAGUUUCAUGGCGGCCCGUACCCUAAACCGACUCAGGUGGUCAGGUAGAGAAUACCGAGGCGUUCGGGUGAACUAUGGUUAAGGAACUCGGCAAAAUGCCCCCGUAACUUCGGGAGAAGGGGGGCCAUUCCUGGUGAUGAGACUUGCUCUCUGAGCUGGGGGUGGCCGCAGAGACCAGCGAGAAGCGACUGUUUACUAAAAACACAGGUCCGUGCGAAGCCGUAAGGCGAUGUAUACGGACUGACGCCUGCCCGGUGCUGGAACGUUAAGGGGACCGGUUAGUGACCUUUCGGGGUUGCGAAGCUGAGAACUUAAGCGCCAGUAAACGGCGGUGGUAACUAUAACCAUCCUAAGGUAGCGAAAUUCCUUGUCGGGUAAGUUCCGACCUGCACGAAUGGCGUAACGACUUCUCGACUGUCUCAACCAUAGGCCCGGUGAAAUUGCACUACGAGUAAAGAUGCUCGUUUCGCGCAGCAGGACGGAAAGACCCCGGGACCUUUACUACAGUUUGAUAUUGGUGUUCGGUUCGGCUUGUGUAGGAUAGGUGGGAGACUUUGAAGCAGCCACGCCAGUGGUUGUGGAGUCGCCGUUGAAAUACCACUCUGGUCGUGCUGGAUGUCUAACCUCGGUCCGUGAUCCGGAUCAGGGACAGUGUCUGAUGGGUAGUUUAACUGGGGCGGUUGCCUCCCAAAGGGUAACGGAGGCGCCCAAAGGUUCCCUCAGCCUGGUUGGCAAUCAGGUGUUGAGUGUAAGUGCACAAGGGAGCUUGACUGUGAGACCGACGGGUCGAGCAGGGACGAAAGUCGGGACUAGUGAUCCGGCGGUGGCUUGUGGAAGCGCCGUCGCUCAACGGAUAAAAGGUACCCCGGGGAUAACAGGCUGAUCUUCCCCAAGAGUCCAUAUCGACGGGAUGGUUUGGCACCUCGAUGUCGGCUCGUCGCAUCCUGGGGCUGGAGUCGGUCCCAAGGGUUGGGCUGUUCGCCCAUUAAAGCGGUACGCGAGCUGGGUUUAGAACGUCGUGAGACAGUUCGGUCCCUAUCCGCUGUGCGCGUAGGAAUAUUGAGAAGGGCUGUCCCUAGUACGAGAGGACCGGGACGGACGAACCUCUGGUGUGCCAGUUGUCCUGCCAAGGGCAUGGCUGGUUGGCUACGUUCGGGAGGGAUAACCGCUGAAAGCAUCUAAGCGGGAAGCCUGCUUCAAGAUGAGUAUUCCCACCUCCUUGAGAGGGUAAGGCUCCCAGUAGACGACUGGGUUGAUAGGCCAGAUGUGGAAGCCCGGUAACGGGUGGAGCUGACUGGUACUAAUAGGCCGAGGGCUUGUCCUCAGUUG
rnacentral:rRNA from 1 species